AAAGCUUCUUCCCCCUCAGCUUCAAAAAAAAGAAAAAAAAUGCACACGCAUACCUCUCCCCAUCCUCUCUCUCGGUUCCUCCGGAGUCCCAACACGGUGGCGGACGAAGCGACGACGCCCUUCCCUCUCCACAUCUGGCGUCGCGCCGGCCGGGAUGCCGUGGCGACCGCCCUCCAGUUCACCGGCGACGGCCUCCGCCUCCGCCUCCUCCUCGCGCAUCCCUCCGCCUCCCUCUCGCUGUCCUCGCCAGCGCUUCCCCUUGUGACGAUCUACCAGCGUCGCUCCUUCUCCGCCAGCCAGAUACCUGAGCCAAAUCCACCGGGCAUUCGCUCCCCUCUGAGGGCCGACCGGAGAAGGAUCUUGCGUCCUGUGCAACUCCCUCGCAGUUCGAAGUUCUGGAAUAUGACCUUCCAUGUGCAGCAGCAGUGCUUACAGUGUCCGAUUUAGAGCAUGAGGUAAGCAAGAGCAUUCCUUAGUCCAAACUUUUUAUUAUUCGUGCAACACUUUAUUUUAACUCAUGGAUGCCCACAAUAACCAAAUCUCUACGCUGCAGCUACUAUAUUUCUCUUCACCCAUUGGGCAGAACUUGAAUAUGGCUCCCGUCAUAUAUUUUUCUGUACUGAAUCUUUUUCAAAACAUGUUUAGCGACCACUGCACUUUUGUAAUGAAAAUAUUGAAAACAUGUUUACUGACCACUACACUUUUGUAAUGAAACAAAGAAGACAUACAGACACAAUCUUAAUUCUUACAAGGACAGGAAGCCGGUGACAAAUUUUUGGCCCUUUCAUGAACUAGGAUGGAUUUCCUCCUCAAUGAAAUGCCUCGAAUUAAUUAUCACUGAAAUAUUGUUUCCUGAAUAUGGAGGUUGCACAUAUGUUGGUUUUCAAGCUGACAUGUUAUCAUACAGUAUCGAGUUUGUCUGUAUAUAUGGAACUAAUGGGAUUCCUUGCUCCUGUCUAUGAAGGUUAUGGCCAGACAAAAGAGUUUGUUUCCUGUUGUAAUUUUGUACAGAUCCUAUCUCUUAUAGGACAUCAACAAAAAGAAGGGUUAGCCUUGAAAUUGUUUGCAUAGGUGGUACCAGUAAUAUCUGUGCUUUGUGCUUUGUUCAGUUAAGAUUUACUAUUUUGUCAUGUUGGCUCCACCAUUUGGUUCUGGGCAUGAUAUUCUCCUGUUAGGUUCAGCUAGCGAUAUUAUAUAAUCUUGCUUGAUUAUCACUGUCUUCGAGUAGAGAUUCUUGAUGAUGUAGUUCCUUUAAAAUUUCCAUGUCUAUUUAGUAGUUGGUAUUAAUGUUAGUAUGUUUGAUGUGCUCCUGCUCUAAAGCUAAUGCUACUUAACGUGUAGCAUGCUAAAUUUUUUUAUUCUAUGCCAUCUGUAAUUUUUUCAAACAAUAAAUUUCAGGCAUUAGCGGAGCCAAAAGCAUUUAGGAGCCCACAAAAUUUUUAUUGUGCAAAAAUAUUUAGAUAGAAAAUUACACGGAUCUACUUUGAUAUAAAGAUUUUCUUUUUGAACGUUAGCCACGAGCCCGGCCGGCCGCCCGGGUGGCCGGGCGGUGCCUCCAUCAGUAUAUAGAGGACAAAGAGUGCUUUUUCCUUGGGCUAAUCCUGCUGCAUAGCAUUAGAGGCAAAAAAAAGAUGCUUUACUCAAUACAGAUCCCUGGUGAGGAUUCUUGCUACGGGCGCUGCUCAUUUGCAGUGGUUGUCAAUAAAUAUCCAUGCUGAGGGUUGAUGCUACAUGUGCUGGUGGUUUCUUCGGCGUCACGAAAUUUAAUUUCAAUAUAUAAGUGCAGAACUAUAGGUCAAUUCUGGAUUGAUUUAGUUGAUAAUUCAGUCUUCGUGUUGAUGCUAUUCUAUCUAUGUUUUCCCAGCUUUCAUAUUCUUUGCUUUCCAUCUUGGUGACUGUACUCAGCUCAGUGGUGAUAGGGUGCUGCUAAUACAUGUAACAGAUAGAGUUUGUAGCUACAAUGCAGAGUUUUUAUUACUAUGUUUCUAUUGCCAAUCCUGUAGUCUAUGUAAUAGCACAUACUACUACCAAGAACUUCACCUAGAAUGGAAUUGCUGCUUUUUUGGGUAUUCUCUCCAUAUCUACAUUUCCCGGGAACUUUCAUGCUAUUUCUCCUUUUUACAUUAUUACAAUCCAGAGUUUACAUUAUUCUUUUGUUUGUUCCCAGCCUCCCAGGUAUCAGAAUAGACAACUAUUUCUCCAUUUCUAUUUUUGCUUUUCAUGUUCACAGGUGUCCACCAUGGCUUCUGACUUCCCUCCAAGAUUCCAGUAUCAUGCAAGGUGCAGUACCAUCUGUGUUCAUGCUGCAAGGAGAUGUGAUGGAUCAUUAUUCAUUACCUUUGUUUUAGAAAUACCUGGUUUUCCACAUAUUUAGUUUGUAUCACUGUUUGUAGUGCAUAUUUUUCUUUCUUAUAUUUGUCUGUACAUUAAGUACCUUUCUCUAUUCAUGAAUUUGCAUGAAAGCUUUUUGCCUGCUAGCUUGUUACCUGUUGGUCUAAGACACUUUAUAGAGGUAUAGAAAUAAAAAAUAGUGUCAUUUGCUGGUUUCUCCAUGAAGGCUUGAGAUUACAGCGAGGUACAGUUCAUAGCACACCAGCUUUCCUUUUUGGGUUUUGUCCUCAGCUCAUUGCUUACGUACAUAUCUUUUAAAAAUCUUGAUCUUUGGUUAUUAAGAUUUUGUCCCGGGAAAAAAAGCUGCUCUACAAAAAAGUGAAAUCUUCAUGAUGAAAAUAUAAAUCAUCAGUGAAAAAAACAUUCAAACACAUAGUUUUAUUGGUACUGUCUUUUUCGUAAAUUAUUAUACCGAGAUCCUACUAUCCUUUUUCCCCUUUAUUGACCAUGAAUGACAAGGACCUACUGUCCUUUUUCUGCCUUCACAUGCUGCAUAUGUUCGGAUUUAAGAGAUCUCGUACCAAAAAACAGGGAUAUAGUUGCUGAUAUUUUUUCCCCAUGAAUGUCAAUAUUUUGACACAGGCUAUUUUUAACCUGUUCCUAACGGGCCGUUGUGUUGCUCUCCAUAUUGUAUUUCAUCAACUCAAGAUCAUUAUUGUGCUAUCUGUGUUAGGCUUCAACAGUUAAAGAGGAUCAAUGAGUACCUUAGCUAUCAGUGGUCAGGAUUCAUUGCUUUCAGCAUUGCUUAUUUAAGUCUAUUAUCCAUGACCUCCAUGUGUGCUUCUAAUGUUACUUCGUCACUUUAACUGCCUUGCUUAUCUAAGUAGUUGUGCAUGUCUGCUUUACCUAUUGUAUUAUCAGCAUAUUCCUUUUAUUAGAAUUAGAACUUAUUGUUAUUUCUAUAGUUAAGGCUUCAUUUACGGUCUCACCUCCUUUUCUUAACCGAAAAAAGAUUCAAAGAAGUGCUUCCUGUCUCUUUUGCAUGUUUGUAUAGUCGGUAGUGUCAUAUAUAACUGAAAAUUAUUAUGUACAUAAUGCUAUGUGCUUUUUUUGGUCAGACAGUACUGAAAAGAUUCUUCGAUGCUGAUAGCUGUACAUUCAUGACUAUGCAUAGGGCAAUGCCUGCAAGGAUGAAACUGGUUACAGUUAAGAGCAACCAUUGUAUAGACAUACAUUCAAUUGGUUGUGUUAUUCAUGCAAAUGUUUGAAUUCAGAUGUUUGCAUUUUUUUAUGCAUAAAAAUUUGUACAAACAUUUAGGUGGAGAGACAUUUCUAUGUGUUUUUCUCUCCUUUUUCCUUUUAUGAUCUUUUCUUGGAUUUUGUUAUCACUUCUCACCACAUUUCCUUCCUAUAUAUGCCUCGUGAUCUUGUACAUAUGAUAUAUGAUGUUAGUUGUCCUUGUCAUUUUAUUAUUUUUCUACAAAGAAGCGGCGAUAACAUGUCACAUAUUUUUCCCUUUUAUUAUUUUUCAACUGUUUACAGGAACAUGUUUCUACAAUGGCAUCUUCUCAUCCUGUGUGGUGUAUGCCCACAUAUAUGUGUCAGUUCUACCAAUGAGUGUUUAAAUUAACUUGGAGAAGGUAGACAAUGAUGGAAGGUUCUGUGAGUCUUCAAAAAUGUUUCUAAACAUUUUUUGGCAGGUUCCUUAAUUCUUCUUUAUGUUUGUAUGGGCAACCUACAUGGUUUGAGAUCAUUUCAGAUUACAUCAGAGCUUCCAUGAAAGCACUUUUGGUGUAUGGUGCAUGUGACGAAAUUAACUGAUAAGCUCAACUGAACUGCCCAAGGCUCUAAUAAGUCAGGUGCACAGGUUCAUGUGCUGCUCUAUUGAUUUUUAUUGUUUUAAUUCUAGCUAUAUAAGUCCACCCAACAGCAUUGCCUAAUUGCAGUCAAGCGCAUAUGGAUUAGGGGAGGUGUGAUUGCCUGUUUACUUUUUUUGGUACCUGAUUUGUACAGCAACAUUGGAAGCCUUGUUUUUUCUGAAAGGUUCCAUGCAUAUAGGUUGUUCUAAUUCAGCAUGCCAGAUUAGGGGAGGAGUGAUUGCCUGUUUAUUUUUUUCUACCUGAACAUUGGGCGCCUUGUCUCUUUAAACGGUUCCAUGCGUACAGUUUGGUCUAAUUCAACAUGGCUAAUUGAUUAGUAUUGUUUCUCAACUUUACCUAAAAUAAUGUCUGAUAAUGAUAAUCCUUCAAAGACUGCAGACAGGGUGGUUCAAAAAAGACUACAGACGCUUGGAGUUUGACCAGAAAUAUGACACACCAUUGGUUGAAGUGGAUGUUGUCUUCCAUAAUUCACAAGUCUAUAUCCAAGUCUAACAAAGGCUGCAAUCCACUUACUAAUGACCCUGUAUAAUAUCUCUGUCCAACACUCUAUAAUGCUUUUGUAUAGACACUAUACUUCGCCAUGUACCAAACUUUAGUUGUUUUCUGCACCUAUAUAUUUGGGCUACAUAUCUGUGGUGCUAGCGGACUUAAACUCUAAAUUGGAUGUAAUAUUCCAUAUGUAUAAUUAUCCUCAUUAUAGUGGACUUUGGCCUCUCAAAA